rnacentral:rRNA from 1 species
CUACGGGGGGCUGCAGGCGAGAAAACUUUGCAAUGUGCGAAAGCACGACAAGGUUAAUCCGAGUGGUUUGUGCUAAACGAACCUUUUGACAGUCCUAGAAACACUGUUGAAUAAGGGGUGGGCAAGUUCUGGUGUCAGCCGCCGCGGUAAAACCAGCACCUCAAGUGGUCAGGAUGAUUAUUGGGCCUAAAGCAUCCGUAGCCGGCUCUGGAAGUUUUCGGUUAAAUCUGUACGCUCAACGUACAGGCUGCCGGGAAUACUGCAGAGCUAGGGAGUGGGAGAGGUAGACGGUACUCGUAGGAAGGGGUAAACUCCUUUGAUCUAUUGAUGACCACCUGUGGCGAAGGCGGUCUACCAGAACACGUCCGACGGUGAGGGAUGAAAGCUGGGGGAGCAAACCGGAUUAGAUACCCUCGUAGUC